UACGUAGGCAGCAAGCGUUGUUCGGAAUUACUGGGCGUAAAGAGUGUGUAGGCGGUGCUCUAAGUUUGGUGUGAAAUCUCCCGGCUCAACUGGGAGGGUGCGCCGAAAACUGGAAUGCUUGAACAUGGGGGAGGAAAGCGGAAUUCCUGGUGUAGCGGUGAAAUGCGUAGAUAUCAGGAGGAACACCUGCGGUGUAGACGGCUUUCUGGACCAUUGUUGACGCUGAGACACGAAAGCGUGGGUAGCAAACAGG
rnacentral:rRNA from 1 species